rnacentral:lncRNA from 1 species
UUUUUUUGUUGUUGAAUUGUUCAUUGAUGUUUGAUGUGAUUGAAUAUGAUUGAUGUGGUUGAAUAUGAUUGGUUAAUGUGAUAUAUAUAUAUAUAUAUAUAUAUAUAUAUAUAUAUAUAUAUUGUUGAUUCAAUACGAUUUUUAGUUUGAUUAAAUAUGAUUCAUUCGCAUUGAUAUAGUAACUAGGUUUUUAGUUUGACUAACAUGAUUCAUUUGCAUAUUCCAUUGUUGAUUAUAUCUUUUAUGAUAUAUUUAUUGAUUGAUGUAAGUUGAAUAUGCUAGAAUUGACUAAUAUGAUAUGAUGCAUGUUGGUUGAAUAUGGCAUGAUUCAUUUGCAAAAAAAUCAGGAGGCCCCCCUUGCGCCCACCAUCGGCACUACGUACACCAUGCUUGACCAUGCGUUCGACAACGGUCAUCGCACCCAUUUUAUCGAGAAUGGAGUAGUAAUAACCAUGAUCAAGUUGUUGCACCAAAAAUUGGUUAUUAUGAGAAAUGAAGUCACUGUCUAUUUCCGUUUACAUUUUGGCAGAUGCUACCCCCAUUGCGGAUGAGGGGCCACACCAAGGCCAUUCUAGAUGCAGUAUGGCAAACGCUACACUCCGUACUUCAUGAGAGCACGGCUGCUAGGUUUCGGCCUUUAGUUCAAGUGAAAGUCGCCAAUGCCGUCCACUCAGCUCUCACAACAUUGGUCGACCGGUGCCGCCCCAAGAUGCAUAGUUUCCAUCUCCCAUGUGGUGAGAUGAUGGUGACACUCGAGGACUUCACCAUGAUCACGGCCCUACCGAUCCAGGGACAGGCUCUCACUGGGCGAGUGGACAAAAACAACUUGCAGCAUAGGGUCACCAGCCUCAUUGGCGACUACCCCGCCAUCCGAGAUAACCAAACAUUCGGUGUACCACUCAUGUGGAUCCAGAACAACUAGGCCAUAUGCCUGGAAGAUGCCGAUACGCGGACCGUGGAGCAAUACUCGAGGGCCUACUUGUGGUACCUUCUGACGGAGGUCGUGUUUUUAGACUGCUCGGGGGACACCGCCCUAUGGAUGUAUCUGGACUUCCUGGCCAACUGGGAUGCAGGGUACAGCUGGGGGUCCCCCGGCCUCGCGUACCUAUACCGCUCAGUAAGAGAGAUAGCUCAAUAUUAGUUUGUGGAUUUAUGUAUGUGUUUUGAAUUGUGUCAUCUAAUCUUGAAUUGGUGUUUGUAGAUUGACAACGCAAUGCAGAGGACGGAAGAGAAGUCCGGCAUGUGCGGAUUUGUCUGGACCCUCUCUAUCUGGAUGUGGGAGCGGUUGCCGGUGGGCCAUCCUGAGAAAGAUACCCGACGUCCAUGGACGGAGUAUGGCGAAGAAGGCGACAUGGCUCGAUACCCGACCGCCACGUACGCUUGGGACAAGGUGAAGGUCUACACAGGCAAGUCCAGUGUGUUGUACAAGGUCUUCACCAACGAGCUGGAUAACCUGACAUCUUACGAGGUAUACCAACUAGCUUACCAAUCAUUUUGUACCCACUUUCAUGGUUCCUACCAAUCUUUUUGUAGGUCAACUGGUGGUCGUACCACGACCGACAAUGGGGGUUCGAGCUCAACGCGAUGUGCUACGAGGACAGGCUUGCCUGGCGGUGCAUUGUGCCUAUGAUAUGUGUGUACGCCGUCGAGUGUCACUUAGCACAGCGUGUGGCCACGCAAUUUGGUAUGUUACAAAAUACCCCACCGGCAUGCCCCACCGACACCGGUGGCUUCAACCUUCACUGGUGAGGGCAUUGUUCUCUAUUGCCAUGUUUUUGUUCUGUUUGACGUUAUCAUGAUUAUUUAUGUUCUAUUGUUUCUUAUGCCUUGCCGAAAGAGUAGAAAGAAUUGUCAGUCGAUCACAGACUAGGGGGCACAAGCUCAUGGACCACGUGAAAGUGUGGGACAAGAGGAGGUAUCGCAACGACGGUGAGAGGAGAGCGAUUAACUGGGACGCGUACAAUGAACACAUGAAGUGGUAUGGCGAUGGCGUGAAGUAUCGUGUGCGCCUGAGGCCACAGUGGACGUCAGCGGAUAUCGCAUCAUUGGAGGAGGAUGACUCCGAGGAUGAAGCCUAUCGUGACAGCCUUAGAGAGCUCAAAGGUGAAUUCAGGGAGUAUGCAACCCUGAUAAACAUAGUGGUAAGUUGUGCUCUGUAUUGUUUUGAGCUCUCAACGGUUGGAUGAAAACUGCUUUAGUCAGUGUCAUUGACUUACAAAUGAUGCUUACACAAGCUUCGGAGCUUAACAGAAAAAAAAAAUUAUUGCUCGGACAUGCUGGGUUAUGACCCCGGGACCGUGGAAUCUAACAGCAAGCUAAGGGAAACGGUGAAGGUAACAUCGAACCUCCUAGCCAUAUUAUAGUUUAAUUGUAACCCUAAAGUUGAUCUAUAUUAUGUUCUUGGUUGUUUGUUAUUGCAUAAGUUCAUGACCCGCGUAAGAUAGUGGGCAUGCUUGGGUGCGCUAGUGCGGCUGAUGUCCAUGUUCCUGUUCAUGGAGGGUCGAUGCGUGCCAUCGCUUCAUCGAGUCAUGCCGGCGAAGCUUCAUCGAGCCACGCCAGUGGAGCUUCCUCUAGCCAUGCCGCCUCGUCGUCUCGCAUUGUUGAGGAGGAAGAGGGAGAAGAUGACGAGGAAGAAGAGGAUGAGAAGCAAGCCCAAGGAAGGAGGUGAUGAGGAGGAGUACGACGAUGAUGACGGAUCUCCACCGACUCAUCCAACCCAAGACAAGAGGGGGAGUCAGCCGAAGAAGGAUUGGAAGAGUCCAUCCCCGCUUUAGAAAGAGCAUCCUUAUCGCACGAAGAAGCCGGAUGAAACCCGCUCGAAGAAAAACGAGGAGUGUACCGCCGAGGGAGGGGGAGGAACAAGUGAUAUGGUCGUGUUGAACUCGCUUAGUUAAACUAGUUGUGAACUAGAACUUGUUUGCUAUAUCAAACUACUUGGUGUUGUCGAUUUGCUACCUAUUUACUAUGUUGAACCUAUUUUAUAUGUCGAUCUGCUACCUACUUAUUUGGUGUUGUCGAUUUGCUACCUAUAAUGUGUGAGAUCAUCAUAUUUUGUUUUGCAAACACUAUUUGUUGCUGUGUUGAACUAUCAUUCAUAUUUAUAAUUGAAAUGAUCAAGAUCUUCUAAAAAAUAAGUGACCGAGGAUCCUACCGCAAGGGACUGCGGCGAUAGGUUCUCACAGCCUACCGCAAAAUCUUUGUGAUUUCCCGUUAUAGGGGACCCUACCACCAGACCCCCCCUGGCGGUAAGGUCUAAAACCCUACCGUAAAAAAUCAUCAACUUUCUGUUACAAAACCCUAGCGCACACGCAAGGCUUAGCACACCUUACCGCCGCAAAGGGUGGCGGUAGCUUUAGCUACCCUACCACCGUCCACCCUGGCGGUAGUGCCGUUAAGCAACGUCAGCCCCGAUGCCCCGAUACAAUUGGUUGACAGCGGCUGCCAUUAACUUACCGCACAGGGCCUCGCGGUAGGCAAGGGUCAGAUCCGACUAAACUUCGCCAAAAGGGUCCAAACACAGAAAUUUUGCCACCUAGCCCAGCUCUGCAUGCAUGUCCCCAAAACUCCCAACACAAUCAUGAUUUUAUAGGGUCAACAAUUCAAGGAACUCUCCAAGUUUACCAAACAAAUGAAAAACUCCUGCGCAUUAAAGUCGCUUUAAAGCAUGUGAACGUAUACAAAAAAUCAUGAAUAGCGUAGAACACACAAAUGAUUUUUUUUAAUAUUUUCUCAAAUAUAAUUGAGCAGGACAAAUUACAAAAACAUGCCGAUAGACAUUGCUACAUAAAAUUCUGACCAACUCAACUUCUACUUACGCAUCAGCAGUCCGGCACAAUUAGGGAGGCAGCAAUCAACCAUCUGUCAAGGUUAUACUGGCUACAAACUAAGCAGACACGCGCAUUAACUACAACAAGCCAACCUCAAACCCCAUUCGAACUCAGAGCAAGCGCUACCGAUCUUUCACCAUAGCCCUGGCCCAUCAUGCAUCAUGAUGCAAUCACGUGAUCUUAGCGGCAGCGAGUCAUUCGCGAUAACACCCUCACAAGUUGGCGGAGGGAGAAAAAUGGAAGUUCUCAGAGCAUUGAGAGGACUCAGAAGUCCCAACGAUCAAGCUGCACCCUAGCUUCAGCCAUGUCCUUCUGUGCCUUCCUCCGCCGGUAGAAAAUAGGGCAG